rnacentral:lncRNA from 1 species
CCGUGCUCGAUUGUUCUUCCUGGUUACAUCAUUUGUUGUGGCAGUCUCCUUGGUCGCAGGUCUAAAUGCAUUUCUAAUAUCCCGCAAUGAACUUUGAUCUGCCGCAGAGCCCGGCGACAGUCACAGAGAUAUCUCCUAUCUCCCUCCACGGGUUCGCUCUCGUCCCGGUGACCAGCUUGGGGGCGGGGGGUGAACCGGGGAGCCUCGACAUUGCACCUGGCUCCGGAGUGAUACAGGUGUUGUGCCGAAAAUCUCCCCCCCUGACAGAAUUCGCCCCCCCCCCCCUUUCUAAUUUCCUUAAUUUUGUGACUAGAGUCAAAUACCUUCUGUUGCACACAUCAGAGUCAAACACUUUAUAUAGAACAAACCGAAAUUAAUUAUUAAUGUAUCUGUGUUAUUAAACAUAGAGGGAGUAAAAUGUUGGCAAGCAAAAAACAUUUCAGAACAACUAUGGCUGAAUUAUUAUCCUUACACUUUCAAAAAUACUAGUCGAAUAAGACAUGGGAGAGAUGAUGAAUUUUGGCAAAGAGAUUAAUUUAUAGACUAAUACAAAUCAGUAGCGGAUUUAGGUACGGGCGACAUGGACAACCGUCCAUAGCCAAACCGAAAACUGCAGACAAAAAUGGUUUCUGCUACUAAGAUCAGUGAAAUGUAGGCUAAACUGACAACGGAGUGAAAAGCAGAAAUCUCAACUAGCAAGCAAGUCGCAGCAAUGAAGAACGAGAAGGGCAGGGGGGAGAUUGUCGGCACAACACCGGCCGAGGAUGGGACAACACCACCUGUCGCCUUCAUUGCUGGGAAUUGUAUGCGUCCCCACAGAAUCUGACCCUCAUGGUACCAGUGUGUCCUACCUGGGUCAGUUGACCUCAGAGGCAAGACCUGAACUGCAGUCAGAUGCCCCUCCACAGCCCCUCCUGCUCCAAGACAACAUGUCAUCCCUCCAUACCAGUAUGGAGCUCCUCAAGGGGGAACCCCACAGCCCUGCCACCCAGCCCCUGUCUCCCCUCCCUCCCCUGGGCCUGAUGGUGUCCCUGGACCCCUGUCUGCUGCUGGAGGAGGACCAGGAACCACUGGAGUUUCAUACUCAGAUUGAACCAAAGAAACGGAAAAGGUGGCUGGCCGAAGAAGAGGAAACCUCAGAGAGAGUUAACAACACCCAUAGCUCCAACAACAGGGAAUGUUAUUUUUGUGAAUGAGAAGAGAAGCUGCAGCUGAGAGAGGAGCACCUGGACCUCCCUUUCACUGAGAUCAGCCACAUGCUGGGGCUGCAGUGGUCCCAACUGGGCCCCAACGACAAGCAGAAGUACAACCAAGAGGCAGAGAAGGACAAGCAGCACUACAUCACAGGGCUGACAGACUACCAGAACACUGAGGCAUACAAAGACUUCCUCCGGAGGAAAGCCCUGAGCAGAGGACCAAAGCUCUAUGUUGACCCCAGGGAGUUGACAUUGAGAUGGAGGAGGAGACCAUGGCUUUGAAUCCCAUAGAUUACUUCAGCUCUCUGCACUACAAGAAAGAACACCUUCUGGGCAAACAACAUCUGCAGGCCCUCACAGAGGAGUUUGAGAAGGACACAGGCAGCCAACAGCAGGCUCCAGAGAUGGAGAGAGGCCCUGUGGAGGAGGAAGAGGAGGAGGAUGAUGAAGAGGAGGCAGAGUUGGCUCGUACGUUGGGUCUGUCCUCGCUGGACUUCAGUGUGCUGCAGGAGCUGCUGCUCAGACAUAUGAAGCGAGCGCAAAAAGUGUGGAGUCUGAGAUGCAGGUUCUCAGGGCCUCCAGGGAGAGCCUGGACUGUCAGCUCCACACCCUCACCAUGCAACCACUGCUGUUCCACACAGACAGAGGUGGCAGAGAAAAAGAGAGGGAAUGAGAGGGAAGUGAGAGAUAGAGGGAAAUAAAAAGAGAGAGACAGAAAGAGUGGGAGAGAGAGCGAGAGAGGAAAGAGGGCAGCAGUUCUAUAAAUGAAACCUGAUUAGUAGAUUACUGCAUCCAGUUGGAGGGGAUGUGGGUGUUUACUGCUCGGGCACUUUCCAUUCACACUCUGUGACACAAACACACACACACUUUCUGUCUAGUACCUUUGCUCUUGUGUUUCUGAAUGCACACAAAAACCCACCCACACACUCACACACACACGUUUGGUAUUACUGUGCUUUGUGGGGACCUACACAUUGUUUCCAUUCAAAAUAAGAUUUUCCUUAACCCUUAACCCUUAAACCUAACAUUAACCCUAACCCUAACUCAUAACCCUAAACCUAACCCUAAAAUAGCCUUUGUCCUCUUGGGGACUUGGGAAAUGUCCCCAGGUGGGAGAAUGUUCCUUGUUUUACUAUCCUUGUGGGGAUUUCCAGUACCCACAAGGAUAGUAAUAUAAGUCCACACACACACACACACACACACACACACACACACACACACACACACACACACACACACACACACACACACACACACACACGGAUUGGGUAAUAAACUCAAGCCGGAGGUUUGGAAUAAUUUGCUUGUUAUGAGGCCAAUCCCUUUCAUUGUGCUAAUCUCCAUCAGGGUGUUAGGUCUUCACCCAGCCAGGCCAGGGAGGGUUACAGAUGGAGAACAGCAGGGCUGGAGCUAGCAUCAGUUACUUAGUGGUUCAUGGUAGAGAUCACAGUGGUGUUUUGUUCCAGACAAUAGACUCUCUGACCCUCCUAUCAGCCCUAACAUCCUUUCCUUGUCCCUGUCAGGUGGUGACUGGUUUAAAACAAUAGGACAGGGUCCAGCCUCAUGUUAGGUAUUCACUGUAUUGAUGUCACCUAUUAUACAGUUCAUUCAGAUCAGGGAUCAGGAAGGAAUGGCGAUUAAGAAAAAGAUAGAUGUAGACUAUGGUAACAGAAAUAUGAUCUGUAUUCAAUAGAAAGAGUUACAGUAUUUACAGAACUGACGCUGCCCUGUCUCUAGGUAACAGGCUUCUGCAGAAACAGGCUCUGCCCAUCGCUGCCCUGACGAAUUGAUGAGCAGAGCCGCACAGGAAGAAGGGAACCUCGGGUAACCAUAGCAACCAGCCAGGGGUCGUGUGAGAACGGCUCUGGGAGAAGAGGUGGAUGAUGAAGAUGAGGAUAAAGGAUGCAGCCCGGGAGAAAGAAUGGAGGCACUUCAAACAAGGACCGCAAGGGGCGGACCGCAAGGGGCGGACCGCAAGGGGCUGACCGCAAGGGGCUAGUCACCUACAGCUGGCAGCUGUACACGUCUGUUUUUGUUCUGUUUGUGGAUUUGAGUGUUCCUUUGGUUUUGGGGUGGUUUUAUUUGUUUUGAGCGAUAAGUCAGUUCUCACAGCUUUAAGUCUUUUGUAAACUGUUGCAAUGCUAAUGCACACAUACACUACCUAUGUUUGUUGCUAGUGAGUAUGUGCGCAGUAGAAUGUUGCUUAGUUAGCAGCUUUGGUAUAGGACACUGCAUUACAACACCGGGGCAGUGUGUAUGUAUAGUCUAUGUAGCAGCAUGUACAGGCUUUGUUAAAUGUUUUCUUAACAUUGUAAUGAACACACUAGAAUGUUUACUUUCCAACCACUGAAACAAAUAUACCCAUUCCAUUUCCUAUCCUGAGCCCACGUGUUGUUCCCUGCACUGGCCACACAGUAGCUUUUUAUCUUGAUUCUGAUCUAGAUAUUCUAGCUCUGUGUUUUUGUUCUCAUACACUGUUAACUUCACAGACGGCGAUCUGUUUACAUUCCGUUAGGUCUUUGAAUGGACAGGGACAUUCCGUUAGGUCUUUGAAUGGACAGGGACAUUCCGUUAGGUCUUUGAAUGGACAGGGACAUUCCGUUAGGUCUUUCAAUGGACAGGGACAUUCCGUUAGGUCUUUGAAUGGACAGGGACACUCCGUUAGGUCUUUGAAUGGACAGGGAC